GGCAUAGCUAACAUCGGACUGGAUAC
rnacentral:piRNA from 1 species